CCUACGGGACGCAGCAGUAGGGAAUCUUCCACAAUGGGCGAAAGCCUGAUGGAGCAACGCCGCGUGGGUGAAGAAGGUCUUCGGAUCGUAAAACCCUGUUGUUAGAGAAGAAAGUGCGUGAGAGUAACUGUUCACGUUUCGACGGUAUCUAACCAGAAAGCCCCGGCUCCAUACGUGCCAGCAGCCGCGGUAAUACGUAUGGAGCGAGCGUUAUCCGGAUUCAUUGGGCGUAAAGCGCGCGCAGGCGGGCUGCUAAGCGGGACCUCUACUCUCGGGGCU
rnacentral:rRNA from 1 species